GACGAACGCUGGCGGCGUGCCUAACACAUGCCAGUCGAACGGAACUGUUUUGAAAGAUUUCUUCGGAAUGAAUUUGAUUUAGUUUAGUGGCGGACGGGUGAGUAACGCGUGAGUAACCUGCCUUCAAGAGGGGAAUAACAUUCUGAAAAGAAUGCUAAUACCGCAUGACAUAUCGGAACCACAUGGUUUUGAUAUCAAAGAUUUUAUCGCUUGAAGAUGGACUCGCGUCCGAUUAGUUAGUUGGUGAGGUAACGGCUCACCAAGACCGCGAUCGGUAGCCGGACUGAGAGGUUGAACGGCCACAUUGGGACUGAGACACGGCCCAGACUCCUACGGGAGGCAGCAGUGGGGGAUAUUGCGCAAUGGGGGCAACCCUGACGCAGCAACGCCGCGUGAAGGAUGAAGGUUUUCGGAUUGUAAACUUCUUUUAUUAAGGACGAAAAAUGACGGUACUUAAUGAAUAAGCGCCGGCUAACUACGUG
rnacentral:rRNA from 1 species